ensembl:lncRNA
CUGCAGUAAUCAGACAGACCUCAGGCCGUACCAGAGAGCAGUCACACUACCUGAAGGAUUCUCAGGUUACCAGCAGGGAGGAGGCAGCGACGUGCCUCAACAGAGAUAUCAAUUGUUCAGCACUUCGGCAAACGUGUCAUAUCUACUCCCCCCCUCUGUGCGGUGGACUGGAUUACUUUGAGUGUCGGAGGAGAAACCAGGCGUCACGUCGGGGAUUCAUUCCAGAACAAACGCCCACCUCUAAGCCGCCGAGGGAGGAAAAGAAGACGAAGAAAAGGUUGGAUGAGGUUCUGCAGUCUCUUGUCUUAGAGACGCUCUCUGGGUCCAUCACAGGCUCCUGAUGAUCCUGAUUUCCACUGAAGAUGUCUGGAGGACAUUUGGGGGAUUUCCAGUACAACUCAGGAUGAGCCGUGGGAUUUCAUUUGACCUUCUGAUAAUGAUUAGAACACGUUAAGAUGAAGUGGAUCGUGACCUCCUGGCACAUGAGGAGCUCAUCUUUAAUCUCAGGUGGUUGUAAUCGUUUGUGUCAUCACACACACUUCUAAUCUCUUUUCUGUCGUUUUGUUUUGGGGCCAUAUUGUUUCAUAACUGUUCUCUUCUUCUUUUUCUCCUUAAUCUCCUUCCUCCACCUCCUCCACCUCCUCCUCCACCUCCCUUCCUGCCUGUCUGUCAGCCGAUGGAGAGGCGACAGCAAGUCUCCACGCCGUAAACCGAUCCGCAUCGCAGGGAGAGGGAGAGGAUUCCUGAUAUGGAUCUACCUCAGAAACCAGCCAAACAAAGCCUCACCUGUUUGCAGCGCCCUGCCUUGUUCCUCCUCCACCACCUCCUCCACCUGCUCCUCCACCUCCUCCUCCACUAGACUUCUAAAUCCACUUUGUCAGUUGGGUGCCUUCUCUCUUCUGGUUGUUUUGAUACACAGAAAUACUGGUUAGGUAGCUGUCGCUCCUUCCCUUCCAAAUACCUCCACCCUCCCUCCUCCUCCUCCUCCGGAACUGAAAUCUCCCCUCUUACCCUCCCCCCUUUCUCCAUUUUGGGUGUCCCAAAUCAGGCCCCCCGGGGCAGAUCCCAGACAUAAAGUUAGCAUUGAGG